rnacentral:rRNA from 1 species
ACAUCGGUGGACAGGUGGUGGCAUGGUUGUCGUCAGCUCGUGUCGUGAGAUGUUGGUUAAGUCCCGCAACGAGCGCAACCCCUAUUGUUAGUUGCCAUCAUUCAGUUGGGCACUCUAGCGAGACUGCCGGUAAUAAACCGGAGGAAGGUGGGGAUGACGUCAAAUCAUCAUGCCCCUUAUGACCUGGGCUACACACGUGCUACAAUGGUUGGUACAACGAGUUGCGAGUCGGUGACGGCGAGCUAAUCUCUUAAAGCCAAUCUCAGUUCGGAUUGUAGGCUGCAACUCGCCUACAUGAAGUCGGAAUCGCUAGUAAUCGCGGAUCAGCACGCCGCGGUGAAUACGUUCCCGGGCCUU